rnacentral:lncRNA from 1 species
GUUUGUAAAUAGACAUACCAAAUAAAUAUUAAUUGGUAAAACUUUCUGAAAUCACAUUUACUCUCUAUAAUAAUAUCCAUUACAUAUAUAUGUGUAUAAAAAGUAUAAUUUUUUUAUACUACAACAUGAAUUUCCAUGUUAUAAAAAUAUUUCAAACCCACUAACAUACAACACAGACAUACCAAACAAUGAAGGAAUAGCUAGCACAAAUUGCGAGAAAUUAAAAAUUCUACCCCCCUUCCCAUUGUUUAGAUAAACUUUUUAAAAAUUAAAAUGUAUUGCAUGUAAAAGCAAAAGUUAAAAGAUUGAGUUACCUUAUACAAAGCAAAAAACUUUUAAAAAAUCAAGUGACCACCAUAAAUCUAUUAUUUAUAUAUAUAUCUAUAUAAAGAGCACAAAUGUUAAAACAAAGAUUUCAAAAUAUUAAAAAAAAAGAUACACAUAAAACUAUGGUUUCUGAAAAGGCCAUCAUGGGCAACCAGAAAACUGGGUAAUAUCAUAAGAAAAGUACAACACAUGUACAAUAUAUAUGAUAUGUAUUUAUGACUGAAAACUUUUGAUUUAAAUUUAAGGUUUCUUUUUGUAUUGACUUUAAUAUAGGUUGUCAGUAACAUCCACAUUUUAAUAACUAGAAUUUGUUUUAGAAAUUAUUUGAAGUAGAAAAACAUGCUAUCGAUUUGGGUUAUCUUCCCUUUGACCAAUAUAUCAUGACAUUUUAUUACCUUUAAAAAUAAUUUUUCACUUAAUUGAUCAUAAAUAAAUGUAUAACGGGACAUAAUUAAAAAACAUUUUUUACUUUUAAACAUGUUAUAAUAUUAAACUGUUUUGCAGUGUUAUAAAAUGCUUAAAAUCAGCAUUCAUUUUUUGUAACAAUAUCUGUACAGGUAUUCCAUAAAAGGUUAACACUAAAAAGCUUUUAGAAAAAUUAAAAAAUUACAUACACAUUCAGAUAUGUGUGUUAAUUACAUACAAUUUAAAACAAGUUCUACAGACGUAUUAUGUUAAAUCCUCUAUUUGCCACUCAAGUUUGAGUUUGCAAAAAUAUGUUCUAUUGAAGUGAAUAUUCAUACUUUUAACCACAAAGAAAAUUUGACAUAUUAAUUUAACAUUACAGUAAACACAAAUUUUGCCCUGAUUAAAAAAGGGAGUUGGAAUUUCUAUCUUCACAGAGAUAGACAAAAAUCAUAUAACUCAGUUAAAGUAAAUACUUUUUAACUUCUGUAUAAUCCAAUAUAAACUACCCAAAUGAGCUAAAAUAAUCUAUAUGGAAUUUUAGAUUUUCUUAUUCAAGAUUUCAUGCUCAUUCUAUACAAAAACUGCAAAUAAGAAUUAAAAAAAAUAACCCGAAUUAGAUAGGAAAUUGCAUUGUUUCUGGAAGCGUAAACUGACUAGACAUUCUUAUUCAUUAUAACCUAAUUAUAAAUUUAUUUAUAGUUGAAGCCCAAGAGAUUUUUUUACCAAGUUAUUAAAAAGGAACAAAUAUAUCAUAUGGAGAGUGCACUAUCCUAUUUUGAGAAUUAACUAUAAUGUCUUAAUUUCCACUUAUUUAUCCAUUUAGACACUUAUACUCUAAUCAAUCUGGACUUAAACUUGUAGCUUUUAUGAUAAUUUUAACAAUAUACUCAGGAAUUUAUAAUAAAUAUUAACUAUAGAAAAAACUCAUAUCCAAUCCCAAAUAUAGCACUUUCAUAGCCCAUAAACUAUAGAUAUUAAUUUUACUUUAUAA